GACGAACGCUGGCGGCGUGCUUAACACAUGCAAGUCGAACGGAAAGGCUCUGCUUGCAGGGUACUCGAGUGGCGAACGGGUGAGUAACACGUGGGUGACCUGCCCUGCACUUCGGGAUAAGCCUGGGAAACUGGGUCUAAUACCGGAUAGGUGCCAUUUUUAGUGUGAUGGUUGGAAAGUUUUUUCGGUGUAGGAUGAGCUCGCGGCCUAUCAGCUUGUUGGUGGGGUAAUGGCCUACCAAGGCGGCGACGGGUAGCCGGCCUGAGAGGGUGGACGGCCACAUUGGGACUGAGAUACGGCCCAGACUCCUACGGGAGGCAGCAGUGGGGAAUAUUGCACAAUGGGCGCAAGCAUGAUGCAGCGACGCCGCGUGGGGGAUGACGGCCUUCGGGUUGUAAACUCCUUUCGCUAGGGACGAAGCUUUUUGUGACGGUACCUAGAUAAGAAGCACCGGCUAACUACGUG
rnacentral:rRNA from 1 species